GAUGAACGCUAGCGGCAGGCUUAACACAUGCAAGUCGAGGGGCAGCAUGAGACGGAGAUUCGUCGAAGUCUUGAUGGCGACCGGCGCAAGGGUGCGUAACGCGUGAGCAACUUGCCCGUUUCAGGGGGAUAACCGUUGGAAACGACGACUAAUACCCCAUGGCAUCAUAAGGAGGCAUCUCCAUAUGAUUAAAGAAUUUCGGAAACGGAUAGGCUCGCGUGACAUUAGAUAGAUGGCGGGGUAACGGCCCACCAUGUCGACGAUGUCUAGGGGUUCUGAGAGGAAGGUCCCCCANACUGGAACUGAGACACGGUCCAGACUCCUACGGGAGGCAGCAGUGAGGAAUAUUGGUCAAUGGUCGAAGGACUGAACCAGCCAUGCCGCGUGAAGGUGACGGCCCUAUGGGUCUUAAACUUCUUUUGCAAGGGAGCAAUAAGCCUCACGUGUGGGGCGAUGAGAGUACCUUGCGAAUAAGCAUCGGCUAACUCCGUG
rnacentral:rRNA from 1 species